UACGUAGGGUGCAAGCGUUAAUCGGAAUUACUGGGCGUAAAGCGUGCGCAGGCGGGUGUGCAAGACAGGUGUGAAAUCCCCGGGCUUAACCUGGGAACUGCACUUGUGACUGCACGGCUGGAGUACGGCAGAGGGGGAUGGAAUUCCGCGUGUAGCAGUGAAAUGCGUAGAUAUGCGGAGGAACACCGAUGGCGAAGGCAGUCCCCUGGGCCUGUACUGACGCUCAUGCACGAAAGCGUGGGGAGCAAACAGG
rnacentral:rRNA from 1 species